UAUUAAACCUACAAGUUGGGAUGAAUGCAUUCAUAGCAACAUUCAGGACUGGAUAGUCUCUAAUAUGAUGUACCCCUCGCUCUAUAUGACAGAUGAUAGUAACUGGAAACCAAGUUUGGAUUCAUUUGCUGGUUACUGUGGAACUGAAUGAAUAACAAGCUGUUUAAUGAAAAUUUUAUUGAGCAGGGGACACGGCUAACAAGGCUAAGGGUUAGCCUAUGAAAAAAUUUGUGCCUGAAUUUACAUGUGGACCUUGAGUGCCAAAACUCCUGGUUUGUGUCAUCACCUAGCUUGUGUUCAACCCUCUGCUAUGUGCUUUAUUACUAUGUCACCUAAGUCAUUAUGACUUCAGAAAGUUUAAUCUGGAAAACAUUCUUUAGAAUAUCUAUGCAAAUUUCUAAAGUUGGUGGAUACUUAUCUGUAGUAAUGUUUUAUCUAUUAUUAUCUAGUUUCCUCGACUUGUUUUUCUUUGUGUUUUUUAGUUCUUUACCACAAAUCCACUCCCCUGUCUUCCUUCAAGCUUGCUCAAGUAUCCUCCAACCCAAGUGUUUGAUGCAAAAAUAAGGGAUCAGGAAGCUAGAAGACAAGGAGCUUGCAGGAACCAAAGGUCGGAGACUUGAUUUCGACAGGAGAGCAACAAAAGAGUCUCGAGCCAUGCCAGCACCUGAUGCCAACGCUGAACAAUGCAGGUAAACUUAAGAUUCGGUUAUAAUGUAUGUUUGUAAUACAAAUAUAUGAUGUAUAUUCUAUGGAAAUAACAGUGGAUCAACUUCGAUUCACAUGAUGUAAUUAAUAAAUUCUAAAGAAGGAAACAGAAAUCCAGUUGAAAAAUGUAGUCUUAGGAUCUAUUCAUAACCAGAAGAAAUUUUAACAUCAAGAGUUUCCCAAGCUUGUGAACAAUAAAGAAUAGCAAUUUUGAGAUAA